GACGAACGCUGGCGGCGCGCUUAACACAUGCAAGUCGAACGGAAAGGCCUGCUUUCCCUUGUGGAUUGCGGGUACUCGAGUGGCGAACGGGUGAGUAACACGUGAGUGAUCUGCCCCCAACUUGGGUAUAAGCCUGGGAAACUGGGUCUAAUUCCCGAUAGGACUGCAGGGUGGUGCCUGUGGUGGAAAACGAUUUUCUAGUGGUUGGGGAUGAGCUCGCGGCCUAUCAGCUUGUUGGUGGGGUAAUGGCCUACCAAGGCGGCGACGGGUAGCCGGCCUGAGAGGGGGGACGGCCACAUUGGGACUGGGAUACGGCCCAGACUCCUACGGGAGGCAGCAGUGGGGAAUAGUGCACAAUGGGCGGAAGCCUGAUGCAGCGACGCCGCGUGGGGGAUGACGGCCUUCGGGUGGUAAACUCCUUUCGACCGCGAGGAAGCCACCUGGUUGGAAGGGUGGUGACGGUAGUGGUAGAAGAAGCACCGGCUAACUACGUG
rnacentral:rRNA from 1 species